GCGCCGGUAGCUCAGUGGAUUAGAGCAUCUGACUACGGAUCAGAAGGUCGGGGGUUCGAAUCCCUCCCGGCGCG
rnacentral:tRNA from 2 species